GACAACGCUGGCGGCGUGCCUAACACAUGCAAGUCGAACGAAGCAUAGCAAUAUGCUUAGUGGCGGACGGGUGAGUAACGCGUGAACAAUCUGCCCUGUACAAAGGAAUAGCCUCGGGAAACCGGGAUUAAAACCGUAUGACACUUUAGUAUCGCAUGAUAAGAAAGUCAAAUCGAAUAGAGGUAUGGGAUGAGUUCGCGUCUGAUUGGCUGGUUGGCGGGGUAACGGCCCACCAAGGCGACGAUCAGUAGCCGGCCUGAGAGGGUGAACGGCCACACUGGAACUGAGACACGGUCCAGACUCCUACGGGAGGCAGCAGUGGGGAAUAUUGCACAAUGGAGGGAACUCUGAUGCAGCGACGCCGCGUGAGUGAAGAAGGUCUUCGGAUCGUAAAACUCUGUCCUUGGUGAAGAAAAGGACGGUAGCCAAGGAGGAAGCCCCGGCUAACUACGUG
rnacentral:rRNA from 1 species